rnacentral:lncRNA from 1 species
GUACCACAGUAAGUCCUGACCAAAAUGCAGGGAGAACUGAUUCUUUUUAUUAGAUUAUUGUAACAAACCAGGUCCUACUACCAUAGAAGUUUCAGUAACUGUUAAGUAAAACACUCAGUUUUUGUAGAAGUCUUAAGUUCAUCUAAUCUAAUGAAUGGAUUGUUAAUCAAACUUUUGAAGAGGUACCAUUUCAACCUUAAACUUUUAAUGAUUAUUUUAUUAAUUCAUUAACUUCAAAAAUCCAUAUUACCUUUCAAAUAGUUUUAUAAUUAACGCAGGCAAAUGCCCAAGAAAAUACACUAAUCUUAUUCAACAUCUUCAAAUCUUCAAAUGUUGUCCUGAGAUCUAAGAGUAGGACAUUCAAACCAUAGAUCCUAAAAUUAUCAGAUCAGUUCUUUGAUGCUGGAACAUGUUGACCUUAAGAGACAUUGUAGUGAAUUGAGAGUAGGGGGAGAAAAUGUUUGGUGAAAUAUCAAGACUAGACACAUAGGAGCAAAUUACAGAAAGGAAGAAGUAUUAAGGAUGAGGAAGAGCUGAGCCCCAGCCUAUCUUAGGAUGUCAACCAAGAAGAGCUUUGGAACAUGACCUCAUUGCAUCCUGGAGUUGUUAGAGCAACUGGGCCAAGGAUGGUGAGCCCCAGGCAUGGUAAGUUCUGCUUAUCGUUCUAAGAAAAAUUAUCUCCUUUCUUACUUGUUGUACAUGUCUAUCACAAGUAUUAUCUAGUAAUUCAUCUGUCUUUUUAAGCUUCUUGAGGCAAGCAUUGUGUCUUAUAGCCACCCAUGCCACCACUCAUCAGUGCCUGGCAUGGAGUAAUAUGCUUAAAAAGGUUUGUUAAAUAAAUGAAUACAUGAGUUUUUACAAUACUUGAGUCACAAUACCUGAAGUUCAGUGUUAACAAAUGAGGUAAGUGUAUCUUCAAAUAUAGUUCAGUUCCUGUUAUUUAAAUCAUAAACAAUAUACAAUUUGUUACUUGAUUAAUGCUUCUAAAUAAACACAUUGAAAAACACUAAUUCAAGAACAGCAAAUGCAAAAUAAUGUUCCCUUAUUUGGAGAAUGAUUUUCAAACGGAACAAUACUCAGCAUUUUGGGGGGAGGAGAGUGGGGGGUUGUUAUGGGGGAUUGAACCCGGGGCACUUUGCCACUAAAACAUAUCACCCAACACUCAGCAUUUUUAAUUGCUCAGUUUGGGACUAGUUCUGCUUUCUUAUCUUUGCUAACCUCACAUUUGUUGAUGGCACACACUCUGUAGUCAUCCCAGAGCAUUAAAUUCACUUUUAAGCAAAAUGUGAUGCCUCCCCUCUGACAAUUUUCUAUCCCAGUUUCUCCCACAACCAGCUCCACCAUGCUCAUGAAUAUUGUCUUUCACCUUUACUGUUUGACGAAACAUUAAUAAUAACGCCACUAUUGAUUGGCCUUUAUAAUUCAUGAAACAUGACAAGAAAUGGUAGAGUAUUUAAUUUUAUAGCAAUAUUUGAAAAUAACUGAAGUUUAGAAAACUUAGAUAAAUUGCCCAUGUCAAAGUUACUGCCACUGUUAUGUACACAGAACUCAAAAGAGGGAGAAACAGAUGUAGUAUUGGCCAGUGAUGGCACAUUGGUAAUUGUCAACUCCACAGGAAUACAUGAGAUACCUAACUCAGGAAGAGCACAUGGAACAAGUGUAAAGGGUGCCAAAUCCUGGGUGAAUAAGAAUGGGAAGGGUCAGGAUGAAGAACCAGAGAGUGAGAGCAACCGGAAAGUAACAUUAAGAUUUUAAAAACCAGAUACCAGCUCAAGAGGUGAAUCUUUACCCUCCUUCUGCUAAUCCUUCUUCUAAGAGGAUGGACUUUCCUUUUCUUUCUUAUCUGUUUUUCUCAACUCCUAUACAAAAUAUGCCAUUUAUAAAAACUGAAGCUGAAGAAGGCAUUCAUAUUUUUUUUUAAGUUUUCUCUCUUUUUUUUCAUUUGUUGAUGGACCUUUAUUUUAUUUAUAUAUGGUGCUGAGAAUUGAACCUAGGGCCUCACACAUGCUAGACAAGCUCUCUACCACUGAGCUACAGCCCCAGCCCAUGUUGUUUUUUAAAUCCAACAUUACAUGCUGAGAGAAUAUUUCAUUUUUAUUUCAUGUUGUCUUAGGUCAAUGUGCAAGUUAUUGGGCUACUCACAAGUCUGAGUGACAUUCCUGAGAACUUACUGUAAAACAAAGAAUCUUACUGUAGACAUAGUGACAAUGUGGAAAUCCUUUGUGGUUUGACUGGGUUGCUAAUCAGAAUCUGCAAUUUUGAAAAUUUUCUUUUGGAAUUGUCAUUAUGUAUACAUAAUUAAAAGUCAUUUCAAUCAGCUUGCAUUUUUGAAUGAAAUGAAAAAUUAUAUUUUCAAAUACCCUUCCAAAACUACAUUCAACUUUUUAAAUUAUGAAUUUUCUCAUUCAUUUAAUAUUUUAUCUGAUUAAAAUUCUGAGUAAUUCAUACAUAGGCUAAUUUUAAAUUGACUUAUUUUACAUUUUUGAGGAAAUAAUUUAAGAGUAUACACACAAUUUCAAAGGUAAUUUUUAUGUGAGGGUAUAAACAUUAUAAAAAUUUGGAGUGAAUCUAUACCUUUGGGAAGAUUUCCAUGGCAAGGUAGAAUCCAUCCCUCAUGGUCUCCCUCAUGCUGCUGAUCAUUCUUACAUAUUCCCUAAAGCAGAACCUCUACCUGCUAAGAAUACCUGCUAAGUUAGGUCUGGGUCCUUUCUUUAUUGGAAAGCAAUAAUAGUGCUUUCCAGUGAAAAUAUAUAGUAAUUCAGAUAAAUUCUAACUAGUCCUGAUUAUAUUACUUAUUGUAUUUCAUUACAAUUUUGUUUAUUUUACUUUUAUCUUUUAAAGUAUAAAAUAAUUUUAUUCCCAUGAAAAUUGCAGAGGAAUGAAUUUAUUUCUCCAGUGUUAGUCUAUAAUGCUUUCUUUUGUUUCUUAUCAGUGGUUGUUUCAAAAGAAACAAUUUUCAAAAGCCAUAAAAGUUCUUCCACAUAGUUGAGGUAAAAUAAAGAAAAAAUUCCUAGGCAGCAUUUUUAAAGCCUGAUAUGAGAUAUUUUGUCUACUUAAAACUAAGAAACAGCAAAAGUAAAAAAGAAAAAAAUAUAUAAAGUUCUUCUUAGUACACACCGCCAACAUGGUUCAGGUGGCUCAUGGAGGUUGGCUGAGUGAGGAAGAAGAACUCUUUUGAGGGUAAUGCCAGAAAGCUGGUAGAAACUGUAAAUGUUAUUGAUCAGAAUAGGACUUUUGUGAUUGGAUCUUUCACUAAUGCAAGGAGACAGGUCAUGCCUUUCAAACACAUGCAGCUCUCUGACUCCAUCAAGUUCCUAUACAGGACCUGCCAGAUGUACAUCCCACUUCAUCUGAUCAGGACAAGAAGGGUGGCCACAAGAUAGGUCAAGAAGAUUAAAGCUAGAGAGAGGAAAGUCAAAAUUACAGAUUUUGAUCACCUUAAAGCCUAGAAGACAAAGAAAAUAAGAAAUAAAAUAAUCAACAAUGAAACUAGGAAACUUCGAAGGGCCACUACUCUCCUGAAAGCUUUUCCCAAAAAAGUACCUGUCACUAGGUUGCAGCUAUAGCUGCUGUUAAAACUAGAAUUCCAGCAAAAGAGAUGACCCCUCCUUGCAAGAAGGAUCCAGCCAGANAUUUAUUAUGUAUCGAUAUGUAAUUGUUUAACAGGAUGUUACUAUAAGUUAAAUGAACUUAACUUUCCUUUGUCCUAUUCAGAGUACUUGCCUAGAAAUGACUUCUCUAAAUUUGCAAUUUCCAGAGUCUGCACUGAUUCUGUUCAUCUUUUAUAGGAUGGUCUGAUGCUCAUAAUUUUUCAGUCAAGCUGCAUACUUAUUCAUACUACAAACCUGUGUUGAGAACUUACUUCUCUAUCUGGCCAGGUACUGUGUUAGAUACAUAAUCCAGAAAUGCACUCUACCUUGCGCUGGAAAUCCCCUCUCCUCCCCCACAGAUCCCGGCUCCAUGUGUGAGGGUUCAUCUAUCUGGUCUUAUCCCUGAGGACUCAACUUAAGUGUCCCCAUGAGUGGUCCUGUGCACUGUCCCCACCAAGCUGUAGCAAGUCUUCUUCUCAACAGUACACACUUUGUGUAUCUCUAAUAAAGUCAUCAUUGCUUCAUGUAGAAUCCAUUUUCCUGAUGGGAUCCUUCACCCAAAUGUAAGCUGUUCAGGGCAGAAGGCUUCUGGACAGCAAUUGGAGAACAAUUCAGGUGUCAAUAUAGCUGGAUUUUCAGGUGCCAAGGAAAAGGGGAUGGGCCUAUUCUCUCUGACUAUCUAAAGAUUGCAUUUUAAUCCUAAAUUUAAAAUGCUUCAAACUUUGAAAAAAAUUAUAUCUAAGAGUUUAAAGUCACAAUUCCUUAUUUUUUUUAAUUUCAUGAGGAGAAAUUGCCUCUGAAGAGUUCUUUAACUUUGGGAAAGGAAAUGUUUAAUCAGCAAAAAUUUAAACAGAUAUUUCUGAGGAGGAAGUUACUUGAGGAAGCAGAAGGGCAACCAUGCAUGUGCACUGAGCAGGAAGUAGGUAAACAUCGGGCCUCUGAGUUAGAUCUUGUAAAAUCCAGGGACACAGUGAUUUGGGAGGGGUUCCUAGAGAUAUUUACUAGUAAUGAAGGAGAGCCUGAUGAGGAGUCUAUCUUCUUCCUAAUUAUAUUACUUUUAAUGCAAAACAACAAAUAGAAAGCAGAUUUCUCAAACACCCCAAAAGCUGAACUGCCUGGGGAAAAUGAUGCAUCUGCAAAUCAGCCUGGACUAGUUCUCAAAUACUUUGCACAAAUUAAUAAAUUAAAGUAGCGGCCAAGCAGGACAUAGCAGGUGAGAAAAAAAAUACGCAGAAACAGCCAGGAGAUAAGUUCCUGAUAAAAGCAUUCUUUUCAAAGAACAGCAAGAACCCAGACUGGAAGGUUGGUGUUGUCAAUUUAAGUCUGAUUCCUCUCAAGAAAAGAUGUGAUGAACAGAUAAGAGUAAUUUUAAUUAGCACUUUGGUUGUUCAUAAAGUAUUUCAAGACAUUUCAAAGCAGUUCUUUUAAACCUCUUAAAUGCUUAUACAUCCUGUUAAUUUAUGUUAUAAAAAGGAUGACUUAUUAAGCAAAUAUUGACAUCAAUCCAGACGAUUAUGGCAAACUUUGAAAUGCUGGAGUCCAAACCAAUAGAUUUUAUUUGUCCACACUACUAAUUAAGGAUUUGAAGCUAAAUUUAAAAGCAAAAACCUAUUACUCUUCAUAUGAUGUUUCAUUAGUUAUUAAGGAUUUAUGCAUUGUUACACAUUAAAAACAUAUAUACAUUGCAUUUGAAACAAAAAGAAAACUUUAAAGAGACUAUAAAGCAUGAUGAACCUCCUUGGUUAAUAAGCAAGGUACUCCCUGUUCACAAACAUUCAAGCCCAGGAGAGUCAGUCAUGAGCAGGUCACCAAAGGCUCUGACUCCUUGGGUCAGAGCCUGAGAAUCCCAACUCUGGCUAGGAACCAAAACAGAACUUUAUAGACAUAUACAGAAACAUAAACAAACACACAAACAAACCCCAAGACAUUGUGAACUAGAAGUUUGAGGUAGAGUUCUAUAGACAGCAGACACAAAACCUGGGUGACACUCUCCCAAAACUUAAUGCUAGAGCAUUUGGUAUGCUUUGCUGAUGACCUAAUCUAAGCUACAGCAAUGUCCCUAAAUUAAGAAUUAGUGUGUUAGCAAGUAUAAACUUAUAGAAUUAUUCUUGAACCCCGCUUCUUAAGUCAGACCUUGCAGGGUACUUUGACUUUUGCAUUUGUUAAAAGCAAUAUUGGAUGUUGUGUUAUUUCUGCCUACUCUAAAUGUGUUCACCACUUUUUAAGUGGGAAGCAUGUAGCAGAAAGGUUAGAACUUUUCCCUACAUCUGACAAAAAAUAAAUGACAAUUUAUAAUAUAAUUCAAUUCUCUUCAGUGGAUAACUAGAAAAUAAUAGCAUUCAUUUGGCUACCAUUCUUGGGCAUAUUUUAAAAUUCUUUACAUGACUUCUUAUGUUUAUUUGAUUUUUCCAGCCCAUAAUGUUGGUACAAUUUUCAUUUUACAUAUGAGGAAAUGAAGGACAAAGUGACUUUGUGAUCUCUCCAAGAUCACACAUGGCUAGUAAAUAUGGAGGCAGAAAUGAAAUUUAGUCAACCUGACUCCAAAGUCUUAACAAUAACAUGCUGUUUAUUUCUCUACCAUCUUUCCUAUAAUAAUAAUUUGUGGUAUUUUGUCUGUCAGAUGCUAUAAAUGACCUAAUUGUAGAGUUAAUCCUCCUCUAGACUCACAUGAAAAACAAAAUUCCUAGGGUAACCUUUUGGUCCAACAAUCUGUAACCAAGGUCUUCCCAGAGGAGGUCCUUCCCUCACCCACAAUUCCUAUCUUGACUUAGUGCCUCUUGGUUCAGGACCUCAGUGCUCUAAGACUUCCUAUCUCCAUUAGCACUCACAGAAUUUUACUCAGGCCUUUUCUCCAUGUACACAGUCAUUUGUUUUACAGAAAAAAUCAAAAUGUAUUUCAGCCACCCAUCUGUUGCUUAAAUCCCUUCUACAAUAUUCUUAUCAAAUGGUCUGGAAAUUUGAAAUCUCCAUGGUAGCUCAUUUCAUCUUUGGAUACCUUUAAAUCUAACUGUAGUUUUCUUUAGUUAUAACUUGUAAACUUAAUCUGGUUGUUGUUAUUUUGAGCACUUAAAAAUGAUGGAAUUUGUCUCUAGAAAAAAAAUGCAGACAUGUGCAAAAUGUUUCAUAAACAAUUUCUGAGGAUUGCAGAUACCUUAAAGCCUACGAAUGGUCUGUGGACCUUGGGCUGAGAAACUUCCAGUAAUAGCUCCUCAGAUGCUGUAAGGAAAUGCUUUUCUCUUCUAUAUUUGUGCAUUGUGUCCAAGUUCGUGGACUUCAGUUCUCGCCCCACUGAAUUACCUCUGUUUAGAUUUCAGCCACUUAUUUCAGCCAUGGAGAUCUUUCCUGAAAUCUGAUUCUAUGAUCUAAUCUAUUUACUUUCCUUCCUUAAAGUUGCUUUAGGGCUUUAUCAGCAUGCUCUAGGGCUUUUGCCAUAGCCACUGGCAAAGAUAUGGACCAGGAAAUGGCUAGGAACAGAACACUGCUGUUAGCAGCUAGCAACCAGUUUCCUAAAGGAUAUAUUUAUUACUCUGGGUAAGUGGGAUGUGCCACUACAUUUUUUUGGCAAAGAUCAUACAAUGAAAAUAAAGUGAAUACCAAGGAAGUGUGCAUAACAAACAGAAUAUAAUCAUAUACAGUUAACCUUAUCCCCUUUAGAGAACUGCUUUUUUUUUUUUUCUGAUUUCUUCUGUUGGGUUAGUUAAGGAAUUGGACUAACAACACAGGGAAUUUGAAAACACAUGAGAGCCACAUGAUUGAAAGGCUAAGUACUGAUUGCAACAUUUCCUUUUAUAGUUUAGUGUAUGACCUUAGGAAACCCACACAUGUUCCAGGUCUAGAGACUUAAAAAAUUAUAAUCCUCCUAAAUAAAUAGUGUGGCUACCCAAUGGCAAGCUCUUUGGCUUAAAGAAUUCUCAUGGCCACUAACUUAAAUGCCAUGUUUAGUCUACAUUUUUAAAAAGAGUUUAAUUUGCUUAUUUGCUUGCUUGUUUUUAUUUUCUGCAGGGGAGGGGGCAAGGACAGUAUCAGAGAUUGGACCCAGGAGCACUUAACCACUGAGCCCCAUCUCCAGCCCUUUUUAUUUUUUAUUUUGAGAUAGGUUCUGGCUAAAUUGCUUAUGGCCUCUUUAAGUGUCUGAGGCUGGCUUUGAAUUUAUAAUCCUCCUGCCUUCCACACUGUUGGGAUUACAAGUGUGCGUCACCAUGCUCAGAAUAGUUUCUUUGCUUUUAAGAAAACAUUUUCAUGCUUUAAAGUAGCUUUUACUUCUGGUAUUCUAGAGUUUUGUGGACAGUUCACCUUGACCGUGUUCAGGUACUUGGUAGAUUUUAUAAAUCAGGUCACAUGCUUCUGGUGUUUCAGAACUAAGAGUUGCAACGAAGCUAGUAUUGUACAGCAGAAAAAAAUUGAAAAAGAUCAGUCAGAGGCUUCUAGGUCUGUUAUUAACUACAUUAGUGAUCAUGAACAAUUAAACCACCCUUUCUGGGGCUCUUGUCACAAGGAAAAGAGGGAGGGAGCUAGGUUACCUCUCUGAGAUCUCCUUUAAUUUUCAAAACUCUGUAGUUCUAAUUUUAAUAAAUUAAAAGGACACACUAAACCAUAAGAAAUAAUAAAUAGUAUCUAGAUUCCUUUCUGUGCUUUAAACUUCAAGACUAAAAUAUUAUUUUAAUACACAAGUGCUAUCAUACAGCAUAUUUUCACCCGAUUAGCAAUUCAUAGUAGAUCACAGGACAUAAUCCCUCUAAUCCAGUGUUUCCUCAAUGUGGUUUUACAUUGGAAACACCAAGGGAAUUUUAAAACUGCUUUAGCCUAGAUCUUGCCACCAAAUAUUCUGAUUUAAUUGGUGAGAGGUGAGCCAGAUGGACCAGAAAGAGUACUAUAACUUCUCUAGGACCAAACAACUGCUCUAACCCAUAGUUCUCCAUUCUGUGCAUCCAGGAGCCACCUGGGAGCUUUUCAGACCUGCCAAUGCCUAGGCUCACCUCCAGAUUCUGAUAUAAUUGGCCUGUGGGACCUAGGUGUUGAUAAGUUUUCAAACUCUCCUGGUGACUGUGACGUGCACUCAGGGUUGAGAACCACUCCUUUAAUUGCUACCUCGCUAGUUCUAUCUAGUUGAUCAUCUGACCUCUUAUUCCAGCCCACACUGGCCACUCAUCAAAUGAAAAUCCUUGGACCUUAUUACAAGGUGCAGCUCUGCCUCCAUUACAUCAACCGAGUGCCAACUUCCUGCUUUUUUUCUAGAAUCAUAACCCUCUUAUCUUUUCAAUUAACCAGCGCUCCAUGUUCUGUGACUUAACUGGUCUUCUGGUCUCAAAUGAUUCUUUUCAUAAUGUCACCCCUUUCCUUACUACAACUUUUUGUCUGCUGCGAUCAUCCAUUCACCCUAGUACUUUGCAUCCUUUCGUCCACUACUCUUCUGCAUCCUGGACUAUCCUUAUCAUAUUUUCUCCGCUAAGUCCAGCUGACUACUAUUAAAUGAAAUCUAAAAGAGAUAUAAAGCUGAAAAAAAUCUGCCCAUUGUGAUCAUCAAACAGCCAAAUUCUAAACAUGUACAGCAAAGGAAUUGGAAAACACACACACACACACAUACACACACACAAUUUAUAAAGUUGUGGAGUUUUUUUUGGGGGGGGGCAGUACUGGGGAUUGAACUCAGGGGCACUCAACUACUGAGUCACAUCCCCAGCCUUAUUUUGCCUUUUAUUUAGAGACAGGGUCUCACUGAGUUACUUAGCAUCUUGCUUUUGCUGAGCCUGGCUUUGAACUCUACAUCCUCCUAUCUCAGCCUCCUAAGCCACUGGGAUUAUAUGCGUGAGCCUGGAAAUUUACAAAGUUUUUAUAGCAAUAAUAUUACACAUGUAAAAAUGUUUAUAUUUUCUUCAAUGUAACAUUAGCUGUAGUUCCAGUCAGGUACCUUGACAAACAUAAAGAUCAAUCUGAAAAAGAACAAGGCUGAGAACUGUGUAUUAUCUAGGGAAUUAAGUAGUUACCAAAAGACUGGAACUUUAUAAUAGAAAAAUGAAGGCCGAGGGUGCCGCAGUCUGGUUGGGCACAAAAUAACCGAGCCACCACAAAACCUUGUAGAUUCAAACAGCAACUCUUUAUUCCAGAACUCUCACCGACACUCUACCCACACUUCCCGUGAACACCCUGCCUCCACUCGGCUCCGCGCACCAAUCCUCUCAGAACCCCGCGAGAACUCAACGGGAACUCCAAAGGAGCGGGUGCCUGAGGCAGCAGGAUACAACCUAUACCCAGCAGGAUCCACCCUAAACCUGGAGCCGCCCUAUUCCCAGCAGGAUCCACCCUAAACCUGGAGCCACCCUAAUCCCUGAGCAGGUUCACCUUUCAACCCAAAAUGCCAUGCAUCAUUCCUACUUGGCUAUGGCUCUCAGCACGAGGGUGAGUCAUUUUACCAUGAUGAUUAAUAUCAUAAUUUUGUUUCAAAUAAGGAACAUAGAAAGCAUAAAAUGUAUUCUAGGAAAAAUGAAAGACAUUAUUUCAUAGUAAUUAUAAAACAAAACCCUAGGUAAAAAUAAAUGGGUUCAUUGAAGGCUUAGACAAAUUUGAUUAUCAAUUAAGGUAUAAUAAGUUUUGCAGAAUGUAAAAAGAAAUACUAACAUCAGGGAAGAACUUUAUAAUUUAAAGCAUUUUCAUAUGCAUGUUUUUAUUCAAAUGGUUGGGGGGGGGGCGGUUAGAGGUCUCCUGACUAUAUUCUGAACAUUUUGAGGCCAGCAUUGUCAAUGUCAAGUUGCCAUCAGUUUCUUCCUCCUUUAAGAGGCUAUCUGAAAUGUGAUGCUAUACAGACCAGACCUUUAUUCUUAGUGGCAUUUAUAUCCUUAAUAACUAGAGGUAGGUUUAUCAUGAAGCUAAUGAAGCUUUAAGCUUUAACCUCCUUUCUUACAAAGGUUCUUCCCAAAGCUCUAAGUGGGGCCCAGGCAUUGGUUCCAUAUGCACAUGUUUUUAUCAAAUAACAAAAGUAAAUUAUUAGGGCUGGGGUUGUAGCUCAGUGGUAGAGCGCUUGCCUUGCAUUCAUGAGGCCCUGGGUUCGAUCCUUAGCACCACAUAAAAAAUAAAUAAAUAAAAAUAUUGUGUUUAUCUACAACUAAAAAAUUUUUUUAAAUAUAUAUUAUUAUAGUUUGUUGUGAUUUCUUUUUCCAUUCUAAAUAUUUACUUUUUCACUUGCUCUGUAUUAGUAAUUUUGCAUUCUUUUUCUUUGGGAUGGAAUAUGGACCUGCAUAUAACCCAUUAUUUCUAAAUUACAGUGUCCUGCUAAACACUGCGAGACCAGUAACAUCUCUCUUCUUUGUCUUUUACCUUCUCCAUCAACCCUCAGCCUUUGAGGGUUAGCUCUUCCUGGCUCUCUC